AACCAACGCCAUACACUUCUCUCUGUAUACACUUCCUUCUUGGACUACUUAAUUCAUCUACACGGUUCCUCCUCUUUGUUCCUGCCUUGUAAAUUUUCUUGUAUCUUUUCCAACCAACCACUUUUCCCAUCAUUUAGUCACACAUAAUUCUAGACUCGACUAUGUUGAAAGGAAAAGCUGCGAUCGGCGGCACAGAUAUGGUUGAUUCCAUGCAACAAGAUGCGCUUAAUCUGGCUGCCAAAGCACUGGAAAUCUUUCAAGUCGGGGAAUCCAGAGAUAUAGCCCGUUUCAUCAAGAAGGAAUUUGACAAAACCUAUGGACCGGGGUGGCAAUGCAUCGUGGGGACUGAUUUUGGUUCGUUUGUGACUCAUUGUUAUGGCAGUUUCAUUCACUUCAAUAUCGGCAAUCUUGCCAUUUUGCUCUUCAGGGGUUCUGCUGGCCCCGAAGCUGAAGCCGAGGCCGUGGCAGAUCAUGUUGAAGCUUUGUAAGACUGUAAGAGAUUGCACAAGCAUCACCACUCACGUUUCUUGCUGCUUCUAGUGUUCCGUAUGCUGGUUUUAAUUGUGUGGAGUACAUUCAAAUUAAUUUCAGUGUUGGACAUUUCAUUUUGGUUA